GGUCUUAUGGUCUAGUGGUCAUGACUGUGGAUUUUGAUGUUCGAAUCGAAAUUCUUCCACCGACCCCGGUUCGAUCCCGGGUAAGACCU
rnacentral:tRNA from 2 species